rnacentral:tRNA from 1 species
GGAGGGAUGGCAGAGCGGACGAUUGCGACGGUCUUGAAAACCGUUGACCCUCACGGGUCCGGGGGUUCGAAUCCCCCUCCCUCCGCCC